UAGGCCUAUUCUAUUCUAUUGCCAUUUGAAAAAAGAAGAGUCCGCACCAUGCCAAAGUCUAGGCCUAUGCACAGUCAGUAUUAUUGUGAUUGACAUUGGCCAUGGUUUACUUAUAGAAAAGGACCAACUCAUAGCCAUCUCUCAGAUAAGCGAUGGGGCCACGAGGCAAAUUCAAAAUUUGUUUGUUAUUGUUUCCGAUGCAUGAAGUGGUAGGGAAAUACAUAAUAGGGAAGAAAAGCAACGCACAUGUUGAACAUCGGUAGAGAAAGAGCGUUUGGAUCCCAUCUGAAUUACUGCCCUAACAGAUUUCACUGAUAAGGAAGUAUCCUGAGGCUUCAACCACUCUUUUGAGGCAGUCUCUGCCAAACAGAAUAAAGAAAAUAAACAAGCCUAAAAAUUGGGAAUACCAUGUAUGCAUUUUUGUUUUUAAAUUUUGUUAUUUAACUUUAAUUCCAAACUUCGUUCUAGUGAUAUUAGAUUUGUGUAGUAUUUUAUUAUAUUUGAUGUUUCAGUGUGUAGGCUGUCUUAAAGUUAGGUUCAGAAAAGUUUUUUAUUUUUUUUUAAUUUUUUUUUUUAUGUUGUAGAACUGAUUUUUUUAAAAACCAAAAAGAAUAUAUAAUGAAAAACUUUGAAGUGGUUAAUGAGAUUCAGAUUUUUUAAUAUUUAAAAACUGGGGGAAAAGAGACAUAACCACCCUUUUUCCCUCCUUACU